rnacentral:rRNA from 1 species
CAACUUUCAGCAAUGGAUCUCUCGGCUUUCGUAUCGAUGAACAACGCAGCGAAUCGCGAUAAGUGUGAUCUCCCUCCUCUGAGAAUCAUCAAAUCUUUGAACGCAUCUUGCACCCUUUGGUAUUCCAAAGGGUACGCCUGUUUCAGUAUCAUUA